AUUGAACGCUGGCGGCAGGCCUAACACAUGCAAGUCGAGCGGAUGAAGAGGGCUUGCUCUCUGAUUCAGCGGCGGACGGGUGAGUAAUGCCUAGGAAUCUGCCUGGUAGUGGGGGACAACGUUUCGAAAGGAACGCUAAUACCGCAUACGUCCUACGGGAGAAAGCAGGGGACCUUCGGGCCUUGCGCUAUCAGAUGAGCCUAGGUCGGAUUAGCUAGUAGGUGAGGUAAUGGCUCACCUAGGCGACGAUCCGUAACUGGUCUGAGAGGAUGAUCAGUCACACUGGAACUGAGACACGGUCCAGAAUCCUACGGGAGGCAGCAGUGGGGAAUAUUGGGCAAUGGGCGAAAGCCUGAUCCAGCCAUGCCGCGUGUGUGAAGAAGGUCUUCGGAUUGUAAAGCACUUUAAGUUGGGAGGAAGGGCAGUAAGUUAAUACCUUGCUGUUUUGACGUUACCAACAGAAUAAGCACCGGCUAACUUCGUGCCAGCAGCCGCAGUAACAC
rnacentral:rRNA from 1 species